GCACAUGCUUCAGUGGUCUGGGAGUGUUUAUAUCCCUGUGAGUUUAACACUUCAUGACUGAGAGCUGUCCUUCAUGACAACAGAACCCACAACAACCAUGACUUUGAUCACCAUCUUCAUCUGGACACUUGCUUUCUACAUACAAGAAUCCAGAGGACAGUACACUCUGACUCAGACACCUGCAGUGAAAGCUGUUCACACAGGAGAGACGGUCAACAUUGGCUGUAAACUCAGCAGUGGUAUUUAUGGGAGUUACCUGCACUGGUACCUACAGAGACCUGGAGAAGCUCCUAAACUCCUCAUUUAUAACAUUAACAGCAAGUUCACUGGGACUCCAUCUAGAUUCAGUGGCAGUGGAUCUGGGAGUGACUUUACUCUGACCAUCAGUGGAGUCCAGGCUGAAGAUGCAGGAGAUUACUACUGUCAGAGUUUCCACUUUCCCAAUAGUAAAUAUGUGUUCACACAGUGA